CCUACGGGAGGCAGCAGUGAGGAAUAUUGGUCAAUGGGCGGGAGCCUGAACCAGCCAAGUCGCGUGAGGGAAGACGGUCCUAUGGAUUGUAAACCUCUUUAGGCGGGGAGCAAUGCCGGGCACGUGUGCCCGGAGGGAGAGUACCCGCAGAAUAAGCAUCGGCUAACUCCGUGCCAGCAGCCGCGGUAAUACGGAGGAUGCGAGCGUUAUCCGGAUUUAUUGGGUUUAAAGGGUGCGUAGGCGGAUUGUUAAGUCAGCGGUAAAAUGUCGGGGCUCAACCCGGGCCGGCCGUUGAAACUGGGGAGCUUGAGUGGGCGAGAAGUAUGCGGAAUGCGUGGGGUAGCGGUGAAAUGCAUAGAUAUCGCGCAGAACUCCGAUUGCGAAGGCAGCAUACCGGCGCCCGACUGACGCUGAGGCACGAAAGCGUGGGGAUCGAACAGGAUUAGAUACCCCAGUAGUC
rnacentral:rRNA from 1 species